AUAAACCUAGACUAAAAAUGAAAAAUAAAAAAAAUGUUUUACAACAAUUGGGAUGACCCCAACAAACACCCAUCAGUAGGUGUUGAAAUUCUUCUCGCUUGAUAUUCUUUUCUUUUUCUUCUUCCUACUGAAUUCCUUCAUAAAGUUGAGAACACCAAGCACAUGUUUCCAUGUAUCAAUCAUAGGAACUUUAAUCUCCAAUUUCUUGAAGAUCUGCAUAAAGUACUUGAACUUCUUUUCAUUCCUAUGAUUCUUCUUUUGACGAGGAAGAGGCUUUUCCUAUGAUCUUUUCUUCUUUCCUCUCCUCUUUUUCUUAAUUUUCUCCUUCCUUAACCUUCUCUUUUUCUUUUUCUUUUCUUUCUUUAUUUUCACUUUCUUUCUCAUUUUUUCUUUUCUUUCAACCACGGCUUUUCCUUUCUCAUCCUUCUUCUCACUCUCAUUCAACUUUUUUGUUUCUAUCUCCUCUCUCUUUUUCGCAACAACUUUUUCUGUUUUUUUUCCUCUUCCAACAACUCUCGCUCUUCUUCUUCUUUCUUUUCCUCAUUGAGAAUCUUAUCAUGUGCAAAGAUAGUGGCUUGACAUUCUUCUUUAGGGUUGACUUCAAUAUCAACCUUGAUAAUGCCCAAAGCCUUCAGGGCAUGGGAGUGUUGUUCCUGCAAUAAACGUGCUUGUUUUUCUCCCAAAGU
rnacentral:lncRNA from 1 species